GGUAGCGUGGCCGAGCGGUCUAAGGCGCUGGUUUUAGGCACCAGUCUCGUAGGAGGCGUGGGUUCGAAUCCCACCACUGCCA
rnacentral:tRNA from 1 species